rnacentral:lncRNA from 1 species
UUUCUGAUGAGUAAAGGACAUAUUUUUUUUAAAAAGCUGCAGUAAAAAUCAUGUGGCUGCUCAAGCUACAGUGAGUAAUCUGGCAUAGAUGGAAUAUAAAACAGAGUGGGAAAGAAUGAUGACAAAUAAGAGAGAAAUGCUAGGUCAAAUUGUAAUAACUUUGAAUUACAUAUUAAGAAUUUUGAGCUUUUUUUAUAAAGGCCAUGAAGUCACAGUGAGAACUUUAUACCAGGGAUGGUUUGUAAAAGCAAAUUGGAAAGUAAGAAUUUUCUGAAUUAUCGAAAUAAAAACCUAAAUGUAGCAAUAAUGUGGGUUCACAAAUUAACAUUAAUUAAUCAUAUUGAUAAAUAGAAACCACAUUUAUACCAAUUUAACUUCCAUUAUGAGAUAGCUUAUAAUAAAGCACAGAUGAAUGCCUACUAGGCAAAAGCUAAAUGGGAAAAGUGGAAGGCAAAAUUAUGUAUAAAACAUGGUUGGGUAAGUAAAAUCUGUUGUUAAGUCAGUACAAAAAUUCUCUCUGAGCUUCCAAAGAGAUGAAGAAAAAUAAGGGUUCACAUUGCUAUAGCUUCUCAGAGAAGUACGCUGUCCCACAAGGAGAUAAAUGGUGAUUUUAGAGCAAUCCAUCACUUAACUUGCAGAGAAUCCAAUUUAUUUUUCAAUUUGGCUAAAACUUACCCUUAGAAUUAUAUAGGUGUUUCUGAACUGAAACAGCAUUUUUACAGCACUGUGUAAAUACAUAUGUGGGUAUGUAUUUACAGUACGUUGUUCUGAAAAUUAUGAAUGCUUUCAUUAUAUACAUAAUAAAUGUAGAGAAAUAAAUAAUUCA